UCAUUGCCACACACGUACAUGCCAACCUCUGCGAACCUCACCACUGUCCCCCUGCCCGAUUCGGGCGCGACCCGGGGGGCAGUCUCUGGCCGGACGUGGCGAAUGGCCCUCGUCAUGUUCGGUUGGCCGAUCGGGGCACGGCGGGGGCCAUCCCGCCGUGUUUCUGGUCGGCUCAGGAGACUGCUCUUCUUCAGGGGCGCGUCUUGGGCUUCUUCCAAACAAUCAUCAUUGGAUGGCGCAAUGCAUCACUUCCAAAAACAUAUGACUGAGUCUGUGCCUUCGAGGAUCUCGCGGCCCCCCGCGAGAGUUCGAGUUGUUGCCAAGUGCUAAACCAAAAACAACUCUCAGCAACGGAUAUCUUGGCUCCUGCAACGAUGAAGAACGCAGCGAAAUGCGAUACGUAGUGUGAAUUGCAGAAUUCCGCGAAUCAUCGAGUCUUUGAACGCAAGUUGCGCCCGAGGCUUGCCCUCGGACAUUUCUGUCAGAGCGUCACCGCGACACCCACCGACCCCCCACUCACUCGCAAGAAUUCUUGCGAGGAGGGCGGGGGGGCCGAGUGAAACUGGCCGUCCCAGCCAGCCCCCGUUUUUAGAUGUGGGGCUCUGGGUUGGCUGAAAUGGAGGGAAUUUGGUGGCCGCCGUGGCGGCACGGCCCGCGAUCAGGUGAUCCAAGCCUCGUCUUGGAACUCAGUGUGGGCUGGCCGUGUCCGUCCCUAGACCCUCAAAUUUAGCAGGUCCCAGGAAAAUUUCGGCCCUGCGGGGCCGACAAAAGGGAAUGGAGAAGUAACGCAU
rnacentral:rRNA from 1 species